GUAUCGCCUUCUUGUGGGACACAGUUGGCAUUUUUGUUACUGAAUGUUGGUUGCUUAUGGUUAGAGGACUUUUCGAUCGUUUUGAUUUUUUUGAAUAUUUUAUUAUACAUCAUGUAUAGAGUUUCAAUAGUUUUGAUCAUGAGAUCAGAAUUUAAGGUUGAUGCUGUGCAGGUCAUGCUUAACUGCAAGUACUUCUCUUUACUACUGGCACUGAAGGCUAAUCUUAUGCUUCUUUGGAUUUUGUUUGGU
rnacentral:misc_RNA from 1 species